UAGCAGGCCUGCUAGCUGUGUUCAGGUUGACAAGGACUACUGCUAAAGGGAAACUAGCAGGCCUGCUAGCUGUGUUCAGGUUGACAAGGACUACUGCUAAAGGGAAACUAGCAGGCCUGCUAGCUGUGUUCAGGUUGACAAGGACUACUGCUAAAGGGAAACUAGCAGGCCUGCUAGCUGUGUUCAGGUUGACAAGGACUACUGCUAAAGGGAAACUAGCAGGCCUGCUAGCUGUGUUCAGGUUGACAAGGACUACUGCUAAAGGGAAACUAGCAGGCCUGCUAGCUGUGUUCAGGUUGACAAGGACUACUGCUAAAGGGAAACUAGCAGGCCUGCUAGCUGUGUUCAGGUUGACAAGGACUAC